rnacentral:rRNA from 1 species
UACGUAGGGGGCAAGCGUUGUCCGGAAUCAUUGGGCGUAAAGAGCGUGUAGGCGGCCAGAUAAGUCCGCUGUGAAAUCUCGAGGCUCAACUUCGAGCUGUCGGUGGAAACUGUCUGGCUAGAGUCCGGAAGAGGAGAAUGGAAUUCCUGGUGUAGCGGUGAAAUGCGCAGAUAUCAGGAAGAACACCCGUGGCGAAGGCGGCUCUCUGGUACGUGACUGACGCUGAGACGCGAAAGCGUGGGGAGCAAACAGG